AUGGGUAUGCAUGUUCUGAUGGAUGUCCGGUGUACGAACCUUGUCAACCCGGUAUGCGACUGGCUUGGUGAGAUAUACGAUCCCGCCUCCAGGGAAUUCGUGAUCCCGGGACGGGGAAGACUUCCAUUGAAUGAGGAAUCCGUGUUCUGCACUUUGGGUGUGCCUCGGGGACAUAUCAAAGUCCCGUACGAGGUUAAUAAUGAGAUCGAGGAAGAGUUGUUCGCCCGUUUGUUUCCUGGGUUGGAGGCAAUGCUGAACACGUCUGUACUGGCAGAUUCUCUGCAGGACAUGACGACGCACGGAGAAGUUUUCAAGAUGAAGCUACUCAUGUACCUCAUCUCAGCUGUUUUCGCGCCGACCACUUCUCUUCGCCCAAGCAACAAAUGUUUCCCCAUCCUGGCGAAUCUGAAAAACGUGAAGAGUAUGAACUGGUGUAAGUUUAUUGCCGACUUUCUCCACGAUGCUUUCAAAAACAAGAUGUACCAGAAGGGUUGUCGUCUGCACUUAAUGCUCAUGUAUGUCGACUCUCUUGAUCUUUUCACCGUGGAUUUCACCGGGAUAGGAGGCCCGCCGCCUACUCACAAGUUUGCUGUUUCUGCGUGGACCAUCAGCGCUGUCAAGGCUGUGCUUGCCGCAGACAGGGCAACUGAUGGCACAUAUGGAAAACUAUAG
rnacentral:rRNA from 1 species